GCUCAGGAUGAACGCUGGCGGCGUGCUUAACACAUGCAAGUCGAACGGUGAACACGGAGCUUGCUCUGUGGGAUCAGUGGCGAACGGGUGAGUAACACGUGAGCAACCUGCCCCUGACUCUGGGAUAAGCGCUGGAAACGGCGUCUAAUACUGGAUAUGUGACGUGACCGCAUGGUCUGCGUUUGGAAAGAUUUUUCGGUUGGGGAUGGGCUCGCGGCCUAUCAGCUUGUUGGUGAGGUAAUGGCUCACCAAGGCGUCGACGGGUAGCCGGCCUGAGAGGGUGACCGGCCACACUGGGACUGAGACACGGCCCAGACUCCUACGGGAGGCAGCAGUGGGGAAUAUUGCACAAUGGGCGCAAGCCUGAUGCAGCAACGCCGCGUGAGGGAUGACGGCCUUCGGGUUGUAAACCUCUUUUAGCAGGGAAGAAGCGAAAGUGACG
rnacentral:rRNA from 1 species